rnacentral:rRNA from 1 species
AACGAACGCUGGCGGCAGGCUUAACACAUGCAAGUCGAGCGCCCCGCAAGGGGAGCGGCAGACGGGUGAGUAACGCGUGGGAAUCUACCCAUCUCUACGGAAUAACGCAUGGAAACGUGUGCUAAUACCGUAUACGUCCUUCGGGACAAAGAUUUAUCGGAGAAGGAUGAGCCCGCGUUGGAUUAGCUAGUUGGUGGGGUAAAGGCCUACCAAGGCGACGAUCCAUAGCUGGUCUGAGAGGAUGAUCAGCCACACUGGGACUGAGACACGGCCCAGACUCCUACGGGAGGCAGCAGUGGAGAAUAUUGGACAAUGGGCGCAAGCCUGAUCCAGCCAUGCCGCGUGAGUGAUGAAGGCCCUAGGGUUGUAAAGCUCUUUCACCGGUGAAGAUAAUGACGGUAACCGGAGAAGAAGCCCCGGCUAACUUCGUGCCAGCAGCCGCAGUAAUAC